rnacentral:rRNA from 1 species
GCUUAACACAUGCAAGUCGAGCGAGAAUCGUUUAUUGAAGGCUUCGGCUGGAAAUAGAUGAGGAAAGCGGCGAACGGGUGAGUAACGCGUGGGCAACCUGGCCUUAAGAAAAGGAUAGCUCCCGGAAACGGGGAGUAAUACUUUAUGAGAAUGAGAGAGGGCAUCCUACUUUCAUUCAAAGCGCAAGCGCUUAAGGAUGGGCCCGCGUAUCAUUAGCUAGUUGGUGAGAUAACAGCCCACCAAGGCAACGAUGAUUAGCCGGUCUGAGAGGGCGAACGGCCACAUUGGAACUGAGAGACGGUCCAAACUCCUACGGGAGGCAGCAGUGGGGAAUAUUGCGCAAUGGAGAAGAACUCUGACGCAGCAAUACCGCGUGAGCGAAGAAGGUCUUCGGAUCGUGAAGCUCUGUUAUCAGGGAAGAAGAAAAUGACGGUACCUGAUGAGCAAGUCCCGGCUAACUACGUGCCAGCCGCCGCAGUAA